UGUUUUAUAGUCAUAAAUGAUACUAAAUUGCAAAUUUAGAGGAGUAGUUUACUACUAAGACUU
rnacentral:tRNA from 1 species